rnacentral:rRNA from 1 species
CUGACGAGUGGCGGACGGGUGAGUAAUGUCUGGGAAACUGCCUGAUGGAGGGGGAUAACUACUGGAAACGGUAGCUAAUACCGCAUAACGUCGCAAGACCAAAGAGGGGGACCUUCGGGCCUCUUGCCAUCGGAUGUGCCCAGAUGGGAUUAGCUAGUAGGUGGGGUAACGGCUCACCUAGGCGACGAUCCCUAGCUGGUCUGAGAGGAUGACCAGCCACACUGGAACUGAGACACGGUCCAGACUCCUACGGGAGGCAGCAGUGGGGAAUAUUGCACAAUGGGCGCAAGCCUGAUGCAGCCAUGCCGCGUGUAUGAAGAAGGCCUUCGGGUUGUAAAGUACUUUCAGCGGGGAGGAAGGGAGUAAAGUUAAUACCUUUGCUCAUUGACGUUACCCGCAGAAGAAGCACCGGCUAACUCCGUGCCAGCAGCCGCGGUAAUACGGAGGGUGCAAGCGUUAAUCGGAAUUACUGGGCGUAAAGCGCACGCAGGCGGUUUGUUAAGUCAGAUGUGAAAUCCCCGGGCUCAACCUGGGAACUGCAUCUGAUACUGGCAAGCUUGAGUCUCGUAGAGGGGGGUAGAAUUCCAGGUGUAGCGGUGAAAUGCGUAGAGAUCUGGAGGAAUACCGGUGGCGAAG